rnacentral:rRNA from 1 species
AACGAACGCUGGCGGCAUGCCUAACACAUGCAAGUCGAACGAGACCUUCGGGUCUAGUGGCGCACGGGUGCGUAACACGUGGGAAUCUGCCCUUUGCUUCGGAAUAACAGUUAGAAAUGACUGCUAAUACCGGAUGAUGUCGAAAGACCAAAGAUUUAUCGGCAAAGGAUGAGCCCGCGUAGGAUUAGGUAGUUGGUGGGGUAAAGGCCUACCAAGCCGACGAUCCUUAGCUGGUCUGAGAGGAUGAUCAGCCACACUGGGACUGAGACACGGCCCAGACUCCUACGGGAGGCAGCAGUGGGGAAUAUUGGACAAUGGGCGAAAGCCUGAUCCAGCAAUGCCGCGUGAGUGAUGAAGGCCUUAGGGUUGUAAAGCUCUUUUACCAGGGAUGAUAAUGACAGUACCUGGAUAAUAAGCUCCGGCUAACUCCGUG